GUACACGCGAUGAAGGGAAGUCCCGGGGCUGGGUAGAUCAGAGAGCUGACGGCAGGUGCGAGUCAGCCUAUAAGCCGCAGGGUUCCGUCCCGGAGCGGCCGAUGAUGAAUCGUGACGGGUUCCGCCCGAUAGCGCGGACAUGAGUUGGCCGGUUCGGCAACAUGGGUGGCAACGCGGGAAAUAACCUCUCGUCCCUGAU
rnacentral:ncRNA from 1 species